rnacentral:rRNA from 1 species
GAUGAACGCUGGCGGCGUGCCUAAUACAUGCAAGUCGAGCGAACAGACGAGGAGCUUGCUCCUCUGACGUUAGCGGCGGACGGGUGAGUAACACGUGGAUAACCUACCUAUAAGACUGGGAUAACUUCGGGAAACCGGAGCUAAUACCGGAUAACAUGUUGAACCGCAUGGUUCAACAGUGAAAGACGGUCUUGCUGUCACUUAUAGAUGGAUCCGCGCCGCAUUAGCUAGUUGGUAAGGUAACGGCUUACCAAGGCAACGAUGCGUAGCCGACCUGAGAGGGUGAUCGGCCACACUGGAACUGAGACACGGUCCAGACUCCUACGGGAGGCAGCAGUAGGGAAUCUUCCGCAAUGGGCGAAAGCCUGACGGAGUAACGCCGCGUGAGUGAAGAAGGUCUUCGGAUCGUAAAACUCUGUUAUUAGGGAAGAACAAAUGUGUAAGUAACUAUGCACGUCUUGACGGUACCUAAUCAGAAAGCCACGGCUAACUACGUG